CCACUUGUUUCCACGCGGUUCAGAAGGCUCCAAGGGGGGGGGGGGCUCGAGGAUUUGGAGACGCCGCCGCCCGACUCCUCUCCAAGACUCCGCCGUCCAGCGCCUCCCCAAGACGCCGCAGCUCGACGCCUCGACGCCGGCGUACCUCCUCCGGCGUACUGGAUUUCUCUCCGGUGGUUCUCAGGCAACCAGAGAAGCAAGAUUAAACAAUUUGGACAAACUAUUGGCCAUUCAAAAACUGGAUGAUCAUGACAUCAUCAAGAGCAAUUCAUAUGUAUGACAACAUCAUUCUCAGUGGUCUGUAAAAAUAUAACUAAUUGUGAGCUAUUGCACAAGUACCCUGUGUUGCAUUAUGUUUGUUGCAAAAUUAUGGUGUUGCUGUGAAAGAUCACGGAUGAGAUAUUAUUGAUUCCAAGUCAUGUUGUUUUUGAGAAAUCAUGUAUUUCCUGUGAUAUAAUUGAUAUUGUUGUGAUGAGAUAUUGAUCUAAAGUCAGGCAAAAGUUAUGUUAUUGCUAUGAAGAAUUGCUG
rnacentral:rRNA from 1 species